rnacentral:ncRNA from 1 species
CAACCUCAACUCAUAUGGGACUACCCCCUGAAUUUAAGCAUAUUAAUUAGGGGAGGAAAAGAAACUAACAAGGAUUUUCUUAGUAGCGGCGAGCGAAAAGAAAUCAGUUCAGCACUAAGUCACUUUGUCUAUAUGGCAAAUGUGAGAUGCAGUGUACGGAACAUCAACAUUCUAGUAUGAGAAGUUAACGAUUUAAGUCCUUCUUAAAUGAGGCCAUUUACCCAUAGAGGGUGCCAGGCCCGUAUAACGUUAAUGAUUACUAGAUGGUGUUUCCAAAGAGUCGUGUUGCUUGAUAGUGCAGCACUAAGUGGGUGGUAAACUCCAUCUAAAACUAAAUAUAACCAUGAGACCGAUAGUAAACAAGUACCGUGAGGGAAAGUUGAAAAGAACUCUGAAUAGAGAGUUAAAUAGUACGUGAAACUGCUUAGAGGUUAAGCCCGAUGAACCUGAAUAUCCGUUAUGGAAAAUUCAUCAUUAGAAUUGUAAUAUUUUAAACAAUAUUAUAAUAAUAGUGUGCAUUUUUUCCAUAUAAGGACAUUGUAAUCUAUUAGCAUAAAUAUUUAUCAUAAAAUUAUGUCUGAUUGCUUAUUUGAAUUAUAUGCUUGGCAUUUUAACAUAAAAUAAAAGAUAUAAAUUUGAUAAAGUGCUGAUAGAUUUAUAUGAUUACAGUGCGUUAAUUUUUCGGAAUUAUAUAAUGGCAUAAUUAUCAUUGAUAUUUGUGUUUAUUAUAUGCAUUUGUAUGAUUAACAAUGCGAAAGAUUCAGGAUACGUUCGGGACC